GACCUGGUGUUCCCAAGAGCACCCCCGGAUAUGACUCUCAGAGUCUCGAUGUCUGUUCUCCAGGGAACCAGACCAUGUGUACAUCAAGAUCUGGGCUUGUGUUCCCUCCUUUUCUCUCAGCGUAGUCUCCAGAUACAAGGUCUCUACUCCCCAAAAGGGCACUGCUCGCCGUCCUGACUCCUUGAUAAUGACACUGUGACUCUGUGCUUGUCUCCUGUCCCCUCUCUUUCUGGGCCCAUUCCCACCACCUAUCUUGGCUACUUUUCAAAAUACCAAGGCUUCAGCCUCUCCUUCCUGAGCAGCUGCAGAAUGAGUCCUGGUCUUGUAAGAAUUGAUGCUGUUUAACUGUGGUGCUGGAGAAGUACUCUUGAGAGUCCCUUAGACAGCAAGGAAAUCAAACCGGUCAAUCCUAAAGGAAAUCAACCCUGAAUAUUCAUUGGAAGGACUGAUGCUGAAGCUGAAACUCCAAUCAGUUUGGCCACCUGAUGCAAAGAACUGACUCACUGGAAAAGAUCCUGAUGCUGGGAAAGACUGAAGGUGGGAGGAAAAGGGGAUGACAGAGGAUGAGAUGGUUGGAUGGCAUCACCAACUCAAUGGACAUGAGUUUCAGCAAGCUCCAGGAGAUAGUGAAGGACAGGGAGGCCUGGUGUGCUGCAGUCCAUGGGGCUGCAAAGAGUUGGACAGGAUUGAGUGACUGAGCAACAACAACUUUCAGGAAGGACAGGAGACAAGAGGAGACAUGACCUUGGUGAUGCAAGGAAGAGGCUUGGUGAAGACAUCAUGGAGACCGCCCUUCCUGUCACUUAGGAAUCCUUUGCACCAAAGCCACACUGCUUUGGGAAUGACAAGAAAGCAGAAGAAAGGUGUGAGAGUUGGUGUUGGUGUCACUUCCCUUUCCAGACACCUGGGUUGAUGGUGUUCACAGGCCAGGAAACACAUUGCAAAUGGCAGCUCUUCUCAGUGAGAAUAAGACGAGAGGCUCCGAGAGUGAAUUCCAUCCCAGCCCUAGCUGAGCCUUGUGUCACCUGGAGCUGUGACCUCCUGGACCUGACCUGCCAUUUCCUCAUCUCUUCAAUGAGCAUCCUGAGACAUCAACCUCUCAGGGGUGAUGAGACGAGACACCAGACUGGCAGAGGCAGAAACUGAACCCAGGGAGCAGAGAUGUCUCAAAUCCCAUGGCUGCCUGGAACUGAGCUGACCUUGAAGUCUCCAUUCCUGGUCCUUCCAUGGCUUCUGUUCUGGAUGAAAGGCCCCCUCCUGGCUUAGGGGCUCCUACAUAGGAGGUGCUCAAUGAAAAUGAGAUGCAAAAAGAUGAGGCAUGAAAUUGCGGGGAACCAGACAAAAGUCGUAAGAGGAAUAAGAAGGAAAACGUUAAAAAAAAACACACACAAAAAAUGAAGAAACUCUGAGAGCAUACUUUUCUCCCAUGACUUUGCAACUUUGAACCACGUCAUAUCAGACCUGAUUAACCUCCUGAGAUCCACCUCUUUGUCACCUUCACCUGUAACCUGGGGGUUACAAUAGCCAUCUCCUGGCUAGACUGGGACAAUAACACCAGCUAAAGCAGAUCAUCUCCAGAGAAUAGCAACAUCAGGCUCACCACUGGGGCCCACUUGGCUCUGCUCACUCGUUCUGAGAUCCAAACUGGGGUCUGAUGGCCACCCCGCUUGUUGUCCAGGAAGCAAAAUGAAUUUCUCCCUGUCACCCAGCCCAACCCUUGUUCUGCUCCAUCUCGGAUCACACCUGGCCUCCAUGUGGGUGGAGGAGAUCUUCCUGGGGGUGGCUGGGCAGACAGACACACCGAACCACCAAGAGGGAAGGAACUCUCAGAUCCUGCAGCGUGUUUUCUUGCCCUUCCCUCCUGCAGACUGAUUCAGUUUUUUAAUAAUGAAGAUGCUCGCUUUGAGUCAGGGUCUGAGUCAGAACAGGAGUGGAGAAGCACUGCUUUCCGAGUGAGAACUGGGGUGAAGAUCCUGGCCAGUUUACACGCUGGGAAACCUGAACCACUUACUUAGUUUAUGACUCAGUUUCCUCAGCUCUAAAGUGGUCAGGAAAGGUUAGAAAUAGAGCAUAGAAAACACCGAGUGCCUGAGAGACCUUAACUUGCAGCUGCGGUUGGAGGCAUAAUUAGAAAUACAUCUACUGUAUUCCAUGAGAAAAUGAGGACCCAGCCCCCCUGCACUGCCCGGGGGCUCCUGCACUGCCCGGGUCUGUUUCUCUGUGGUCAUUUGGGAUUUUGGAGGAGGGUGCUGCUUGUGAGUUGCUUAAGGAUCAAUCUCCUCUCCUACUGCCCUGGAAUCAGCAGUUCCCGCUGCUCUUAGCUGCUCUCACUCCCGGGGAGCCCGAUUUCAAAGGAUUUCUCCACUGAGCUAAAGCAAACCUCAGUCAUCUUUGUGCACAAAACACCCACCCAGGCUAUUUGUCUCCGUCCUGAGCACUUGGCGAGGAGCCCAAGAGGAGCCUUUAGCAAAGAAUGCUGGCAUUCAGAAGGGGUUGACUGUCCGCAGUCCGCCAGCCCCACCCCGUACUCUGCCCGGGGUUCUUGGCAGCCCAAGUUAACCACAAGACAAGUUUUAUCAUCUGUUAAACCUGUCGUUUGGAAAAAAAUAAAAAAAGACUUCAAUAAAAUAUUUCA
ensembl:lncRNA